CCUCUCAUGGCGUAGUGGUUAACGCGCCCCAACUAGAGAUCGGGGAGUCGUGAGUUCGAUUCUCACUGAGAAUA
rnacentral:tRNA from 1 species